rnacentral:tRNA from 1 species
GCGUUGUUAGCUCAGUCGGUAGAGCAGCUGGCUCUUAACCAGCGGGUCACAGGUUCGAACCCUGCACAACGUA